UUCUCAUGAGUUAGGCCUCAGUCAUGAAUGAUGCACAAGCAAGGAAUCCUGGCAAUGGAGCGAAGCGUGGGCCAGAAGGCUUGCGUGUGGGAAAAACGCCUUGGAGUGGUAAACCUCUUUGCUCAGAGAGGCGUAAAAUCUGGUGAGUAUGAGGAAUAAAAGCACCGUAUAUCUGCGCCAGCACAGGCGCGGAUAUGUAGAGGGCGAGAGUUAUCUUGAUAUUUUGUGGGUAAAGAGAGCGUAUAGGCUUCUUCACAUGUCAGGUGAAAUAUCCCUGGUCUUAUCGGAGGAAUCGUUUGAGAAUGUUGUUGUAGAGAGCAGCAGAGAGAGAGGGAAUUUUCGCUGUAGAGAGGAAAUUUUUGUAGAUAUGGGGGGACACCCCUGUGGAGAAAGCCACUUCGGGGGGAUAUUGUGGCUGUGAGGCGAAAAAGUGUGGAGCACACACGAUUUUAUAUCCCGUUAUUGUACACGCGUUAAACAAUUGCCAUUAGUGUAGGAGGUUAUUCACCCUUCCCGUGCCGCAGCUAACGCAUUAAGUGCCCCGCCUGGGGAGUACGGUCGCAAGAUUA
rnacentral:rRNA from 1 species